rnacentral:RNase_P_RNA from 1 species
GGGAGAAGGAGCGCGACCGACGGUAGCCCUUGGGAAGGACCCCGUCCUCACCCCUUGGGCAGCUGAGGAAAGUCCCUCCUCCACGUCGAGGUGAGCUGCUGUAACCCCCUGGUGGCCCCAAGGGAUCCAGGAGGCCAAGGCGCCGGGGCGAGAGUCCCGGGCGGAGGAGCAGAAACGACACAGCCCCCGGGUGCGAUGAACCCGGCCUGCGGGAGAGGUCCCCGNNGGAGCAAGCCCAAGUGUCCGGGAUGACCCGACAGGACCGGAAGGUAGGGUGCUAAGUCGAAUGUCGCAAGCCCGCUGGCCUCGGCCGGCGGGGGAACAGAAGAGGGCUUACUCCCUUCACCC